UGGGGAAUAUUGCACAAUGGGGGAAACCCUGAUGCAGCGACGCCGCGUGAGCGAAGAAGGUUUUCGAAUCGUAAAGCUCUGUCCUAUGAGAAGAUAAUGACGGUAUCAUAGGAGGAAGCCCCGGCUAAAUACGUGCCAGCAGCCGCGGUAAUACGUAUGGGGCGAGCGUUGUCCGGAAUUAUUGGGCGUAAAGGGUACGUAGGCGGUCUAUUAAGUCAGGUGUGAAAGCGUGAGGCUUAACCUCAUUAAGCACUUGAAACUGAUAGACUUGAGUGAAGGAGAGGAAAGGGGAAGUCCUAGUGUAGCGAUGAAAUGCGUAGAUAUCAGGAGGAAGACCGGUGGCGAAGGCGACUUUCUGGACUUUUACUGACGCUCAGGUACGAAAGCGUGGGGAGCAAACAGG
rnacentral:rRNA from 1 species